UUUGAGGGGUUAAGGCUCCCAGUAGACGACUGGGUUGAUAGGCCAGAUAUGGAAGCGCCGUAAGGUGUGGAGUUGACUGGUACUAAUAGGCCGAGGGCUUGUCCUCAGUUG
rnacentral:rRNA from 1 species